UCCUACACUGCACAAUUGCCUUAGACAUC
rnacentral:piRNA from 1 species